UUCGAGUGGCGGACGGGUGAGUAACGCGUGGGUAACCUGCCUUACACAGGGGGAUAACACCUGGAAACAGGUGCUAAUACCGCAUAAGCGCACAGGGCCGCAUGGCCCGGUGUGAAAAACUCCGGUGGUGUAAGAUGGACCCGCGUCUGAUUAGCUUGUUGGCGGGGUAGGGGCCCACCAAGGCGACGAUCAGUAGCCGGCCUGAGAGGGUGGACGGCCACAUUGGAACUGAGACACGGCCCAAACUCCUACGGAAGGCAGCAG
rnacentral:rRNA from 1 species